CUGUUGCCAAUUAAGCCCAUCAUUUUCCUUUCUUUGUGGGGACUCAAUGUGUAAUGACUGCAAAUAUCCUCAUUCUCAGGAGGGUGCAUAGCUGUCCUGGCUCUGGAUUGCUCUGGGAGAUCAUUGAGAAAGGU
rfam:Dipodomys ordii contig_23975, whole genome shotgun sequence.